rnacentral:pre_miRNA from 2 species
GGGAGGUGUGAUACCAUGCUUCCUGGGAGGUGUGAUCCCACGCUCACUGGGAGGUGUGAUCUCACACUCGCU